AUUGAACGCUGGCGGCAUGCUUUACACAUGCAAGUCGAACGGUAACAGGCCGCAAGGUGCUGACGAGUGGCGAACGGGUGAGUAAUGCAUCGGAACGUGCCCAGUCGUGGGGGAUAACGCAGCGAAAGCUGUGCUAAUACCGCAUACGAUCUGUGGAUGAAAGCGGGGGACCGAAAGGCCUCGCGCGAUUGGAGCGGCCGAUGUCGGAUUAGGUAGUUGGUGGGGUAAAGGCUCACCAAGCCAACGAUCUGUAGCGGGUCUGAGAGGACGACCAGCCACACUGGGACUGAGACACGGCCCAGACUCCUACGGGAGGCAGCAGUGGGGAAUUUUGGACAAUGGGCGCAAGCCUGAUCCAGCAAUGCCGCGUGCAGGAAGAAGGCCUUCGGGUUGUAAACUGCUUUUGUACGGAGCGAAAAGGCUCUCUCUAAUACAGGGGGCUCAUGACGGUACCGUAAGAAUAAGCACCGGCUAACUACGUGCCAGCCGCCGCCGUAACAC
rnacentral:rRNA from 1 species